AGGGGUAUAGCUCAGUGGUAAAGUGCAUGCGUAGCACGCACAAGGUGUCCUGGGUUCAAUUCCCAGUACCUCUG
rnacentral:tRNA from 1 species